AAAUAGUUGAGAACUCGCCUACAGAUUUCAGGUAAGGGGAAACAUUAUCAAAUUGCAUAUUUCUUGUUAAAUAUCCUUAUGUAAAUACUUGAACUUAAAAUAUUUUUGAAGAAAUACAGUGGAAGCUGUCUUAUCUGAACCCAUUUAAUAAUGAAAACCUCAUUAAUUUAUCUCUUUUAUUGGAACCUACUGUAAAUAUUCUUUAGGAAUUUAAACUGUGUAAACAAAACACAGGUAUGAGAAGAUUUCUAAUGUGGACAAAAAUCUUCAGUCGUAAAGUGGUCCUGUUUUAAUAAGUUUUACUGUACAUUACGCAAGUUGUAGUUAUUUUUAUAUUUCUGCAAAAC
rnacentral:lncRNA from 1 species